rnacentral:rRNA from 1 species
UACGUAGGGUGCGAGCGUUGUCCGGAAUUAUUGGGCGUAAAGGGCUCGUAGGCGGUUUGUCGCGUCGGGAGUGAAAACUCAGGGCUUAACCCUGAGCCUGCUUCCGAUACGGGCAGACUAGAGUACUGCAGGGGAGACUGGAAUUCCUGGUGUAGCGGUGAAAUGCGCAGAUAUCAGGAGGAACACCGGUGGCGAAGGCGGGUCUCUGGAACGGUACUGACGCUGAGACGCGAAAGCGUGGGGAGCGAACAGG